rnacentral:rRNA from 1 species
GACGAACGCUGGCGGCGUGCCUAAUACAUGCAAGUAGAACGCUGAAGAGAGGAGCUUGCUCUUCUUGGAUGAGUUGCGAACGGGUGAGUAACGCGUAGGUAACCUGCCUGGUAGCGGGGGAUAACUAUUGGAAACGAUAGCUAAUACCGCAUAAAAUGGAUUAUCGCAUGAUAAUCCAUUGAAAGGUGCAAAUGCAUCACUACCAGAUGGACCUGCGUUGUAUUAGCUAGUUGGUGGGGUAACGGCUCACCAAGGCGACGAUACAUAGCCGACCUGAGAGGGUGAUCGGCCACACUGGGACUGAGACACGGCCCAGACUCCUACGGGAGGCAGCUGUAGGGAAUCUUCGGCAAUGGACGGAAGUCUGACCGAGCAACGCCGCGUGAGUGAAGAAGGUUUUCGGAUCGUAAAGCUCUGUUGUAAGAGAAGAACGAGUGUGAGAGUGGAAAGUUCACACUGUGACGGUAUCUUACCAGAAAGGGACGGCUAACUACGU